rnacentral:rRNA from 1 species
GACGUAGGAGGCGAGCGUUGUCCGGAUUCAUUGGGCGUAAAGAGCGCGCAGGCGGCUUGGUAAGUCGGAUGUGAAAUCCCGAGGCUCAACCUCGGGUCUGCAUCCGAUACUGCCCGGCUAGAGGUAGGUAGGGGAGAUCGGAAUUCCUGGUGUAGCGGUGAAAUGCGCAGAUAUCAGGAGGAACACCGGUGGCGAAGGCGGAUCUCUGGGCCUUACCUGACGAUCAGGCGCGAAAGCUAGGGGAGCGAACUGG